UAGGGAAUCUUCGGCAAUGGGGGCAACCCUGACCGUGCAACGCCGCGUGAGUGAAGAAGGUUUUCGGAUCGUAAAGCUCUGUUGUAAGUCAAGAACGGGUGUGAGAGUGGAAAGUUCACACUGUGACGGUAGCUUACCAGAAAGGGACGGCUAACUACGUGCCAGCAGCCGCGGUAAUACGUAGGUCCCGAGCGUUGUCCGGAUUUAUUGGGCGUAAAGCGAGCGCAGUCGGUUUGAUAAGUCUGAAGUUAAAGGCUGUGGCUCAACCAUAGUUCGCUUUGGAAACUGUCAAACUUGAGUGCAGAAGGGGAGAGUGGAAUUCCAUGUGUAGCGGUGAAAUGCGUAGAUAUAUGGAGGAACACCGGUGGCGAAAGCGGCUCUCUGGUCUGUAACUGACGCUGAGGCUCGAAAGCGUGGGGAGCGAACAGG
rnacentral:rRNA from 1 species